rnacentral:rRNA from 1 species
GAUGAACGCUGGCGGCGUGCCUAAUACAUGCAAGUCGAGCGAACGGACGAGAAGCUUGCUUUUCUGAUGUUAGCGGCGGACGGGUGAGUAACACGUGGAUAACCUACCUAUAAGACUGGGAUAACUUCGGGAAACCGGAGCUAAUACCGGAUAAUAUUUUGAACCGCAUGGUUCAAAAGUGAAAGACGGUCUUGCUGUCACUUAUAGAUGGAUCCGCGCUGCAUUAGCUAGUUGGUAAGGUAACGGCUUACCAAGGCAACGAUGCAUAGCCGACCUGAGAGGGUGAUCGGCCACACUGGAACUGGGACACGGUCCAGACUCCUACGGGAGGCAGCAGUAGGGAAUCUUCCGCAAUGGGCGAAAGCCUUACGGAGCAACGCCGCGUGAGUGAUGAAGGUCUUCGGAUCGUAAAACUCUGUUAUUAGGGAAGAACAUAUGUGUAAGUAACUGUGCACAUCUUGACGGUACCUAAUCAGAAAGCCACGGCUAACUACGUG